AUGCUCGUUUGCGAAGAGAACAUCUACCAUAAACUCAACCUGAGCCAACAAUCUUCAAUGCCGCUUUCCUCCCCAAGAAAUUGCAUAUUUGGGAAAUUACGCAGAAGCCUACAACGAAUUUUGAUGUUUCGUUUCGUACUAGAUGCGUGGUGGAUGUGCCUUAUGGAGGUAAUGUCCCAAAAUUCCCCCGAGUCAGUGUUUGGGAUCCAUUCCAACACCUUGGAGUAA